AUUGAACGCUGGCGGCAGGCCUAACACAUGCAAGUCGAGCGAGCGGCGGACGGGUGAGUAAUGUAUGGGGACUGCCCGAUAGAGGGGGAUAACUACUGGAAACGGUAGCUAAUACCGCAUACUAUCGGAUAACCCAUAUGGGAUUAGCUAGUAGGUGAGGUAAUGGCUCACCUAGGCGACGAUCCCUCGCUGGGCUGAGAGGAUGAUCAGCCAAACUGGACCUGAGACACGGCCAAGACUCCUACGGAGGCAGCAGGGGGGAAUAUUGCACAAGGGGCGAAAGCCUGAUGCAGCAAUGCCGCGUGGAUGAAGAAGGCCUUAGGGUGGUAAAGUACGUUCAGUGGGGAGGCGUUACCGACAGAAGAAGCACCGGCUAACUCCGUGCCAGCAGCCGCGGUAAUAC
rnacentral:rRNA from 1 species